rnacentral:tRNA from 1 species
GCGCCCGUAGCUCAGCGGAUAGAGCAAUUGACUACGGAUCAAUAGGCCGGGGGUUCAAAUCCCUCCGGGCGCACCG